AACUUUUGACGGUGGAUCUCUUGGCUCACGCAUCGAUGAAGAACGCAGCCAGCUGCGAUAAGUAGUGUGAAUUGCAGAAUUCAGUGAAUCAUCGAAUCUUUGAACGCAAAUGGCGCUCUUGGGUUCUCCCAGGAGCAYGUCUGUCUGAGUGUCGGAACAUCAUCCAUC
rnacentral:rRNA from 1 species